CAAUAAUUUUAAUUGCUGUCACUGAUUAACAGCCACAAACACAGAGGCAGAGCAGAAACUCAUCUAUGAUUCUUCCAAUAAAUAUAUACCUCAAACAUUUAUUUGGCCUUGCAGUAAAAAAGAGCCUGUUACAAGGAUUUAUCUGAACUUUAUCUGCAGUCUGAGCAGACUAACAAAACAGGACAGGGCUUGCUUUCAGUUUUUAAAGACAAGAAAACAAUAUUUGGCUUUCUAGAACAAAACAAAACACAGAGAGAGCUGGGAAAACUGGCUUUGCUGGGUCCUUUGCUAAAUCUUUCCCCCAUCUUUUCUGAACCAUCCGAAACAAUUAUUUUGCUAUUAAGUGUAGUCAUGGUAGUGGGAGGACUAAGUGGAUAGUAUCUCUCUCUCCCUACUGCCUUUUUAAGACUCUUUAGAGAAUUUUCAGAAGAUGUUUCCAUCUCAUGUAAUUUGAACAGGUUUUUUUUUCCUAGUAAGAUUUAUUACAUUAUCCAUUUUAACUCUAUUCCUUUUGCAAACGACAAAUUAUGUCAUGUUGUUAAAAAGUAAAAUUAGAAUCAGCAGCAAACCCCCCAAACAAUCUGAGGUUUUCUGAGGGAAAGCUGUAAGAUAAGACAGGGAAAAAAAGGCUUCUUAUGUUACUGACUUGCUCAGGGCAGCUGAAGACUGAUGUGGCAUCUGAUGUAAUUUUAUCCCAGGCUUUGCCUGGAAAUUGAUGUCUUGCUUACACCCAUGACAAAGCCUAAAGUGCAGUGCACUAAGCUAACCCACCACUUGGCCAUUUUUAUCUCUGCUGUGCUGGAAGGAGGGACAAGACUGACACAGCUCCUUCACUGGAGGAAUCCUUCAUACUGCAAAUGUGAGACAAUAAGGGGAAAUCUCUCCCUCCAGAGCUGUUGCACCACUGAGCCAGUCACCCUCUCGGUACAGAAGAAACCCUGGUAUCAACUAUGGUGUUUCCUGAGGGGAAAUGUUACAAUGUGACCUCGAGUUCAUGGACGCUGAGGAGGCGCCAAAAGCUUCUGGCCAAGGUGUGCUCCUCUAGCCUUUGACAAGUGGGCUCCUGGAGAGGCGUGGAGCUGCUGCUACUGCCCAUCACUUGGAGCACAGGCAGCAAGUAUCGACAGCACACUCGGAGUUCAGGACCGAACCCUGUGUCCCACAGAGCCAUGCUGACCUCUGCAAAUGGAGUAUGCCUCCCCAAGAGGGGCAGACUAAAGAAGGCUGAAUUGGCACAAGUGCUUCUACCAAGAGUAAAUUGCUCCCUGGAAAAAAUUUAUCUAUGAAUUUGAAUAUCAUGUUAAAUGAGCAAGUUCAAUUGAAAUCUCAUCAUACCCUUUGCAUCCUGCCCUUGGGGAGUAUGCUAGCACAACCUGCUCUGGAGAGCCCUGUCCACAGCCAUGGGCCAGCCGGUCAAGGUGUUUGAGUGGCAUCCACGCUGCACAGCACUGAGAUGCCCUCGGCACCCAUCCCAUCCAUAAGCACUUCUGGUGCUCCUGGAAAAUGAGUUGUGUGUCCCACUGCGUGUUGCUGGCACAUAAGGAGAUUCUGGUGUCAGAGUCCACGCUGAUUGACGAUAUGUCCUGAAGUUGCUGUCUUCCUCCAAAGCUUCUGUGAAACCUCAGGUGUGCUCCUCAGAGGAAUGCCCAAGCAGAAUAUAUCCCAUCUGAUGAGAUACCUUCAAUCAAAAGUUUACCAUUUGCAAAAGAGAAAGAUACAAUUGAGUAUCUGCCAAGACAAAACAACAGCUGGGUAACUUGCAUCAGUCUGUGCCUGGCCACGUCAUUGCACAGAGAUGUGCUAUCGACUUUUUCCCCUUCCUGACAACUCAGACUCUUUGAAUAGAGGAAAUCUAUUUGUGAACAAUUUUAAAGUAAGUUGUUGAGAAGGUCGUCUUCUGGUUGAAAGGAUCAACACCCUAAUAAUGCAGGAUUGUUGUCCCGUAAGUACAAGAAAAUACAUUCAAGGUCACGUACUGCCUGUGUCCCCCCGUGUCACCCAGGGCUGUUACUACGGUGCAUGUACGCUUGUCUGAGCCAGCAGUGUGGCACGCCAGGGUGGGGUCCAGCGCAGGCUGCAAACUCAUCCAGGAGCCAGGGUGGAUGUGUAGACCCAGGCAGCACGUACUUGGCAUGAGCAACAGUUUUUGAUUGAACUUUACCUCUCCUCCACUCACCAAAGAACACUGUGAAGUCGCUGGCACCGUGUCAUUUAAGAUUUUAAGCAGCUCAGAAGAAAUUUAAAAAAUCAAGGAAAGGGUCCUUGGAAGGAUAAGGGAAGGAACAUAAUAACAGCUGAGGAUGGAAAAGUAACCACCAAAGUAAGCAAAAGCAUUAUGAGAACUGGAAACUGGAAGGUGACACAAACAAAAGGCCUGCAAACAAGACUCCCAGGUCAUCUGGCCAACAAAUUCCUGAAGCCCUUCCAUAUUGGAAGUUGCAUACCUCUGUUUACUUUUGCAAAAUUUUGUACUUUGUAUAUCCCACAAAUCUUGCCUGCUAGAAGACAGACUGUCUUUAUCCUGUUUUCUGACUGCUCCAUUGCCCACUACUCUGGUUUAUAAUUUUGGCAACAAAUGAUUGCAGGGUUUACUUAUAUUGCCUCAUUACAUGCGGCACUGCUGCACCAGCUAGCAUCUAUCCAUGCUAGCAAACCGAAAGCCAGUCUAGGCAUGCCUUUCCCACCUGAGGUUAAAUCUUUGACUGCCUUGUGGGAUCUAAGAAUUAUACUGAAAUACUUUCAGUAUGUGGUCCUUUUUCUCUCUUAGAAAAACAGGAAGAAUUUUUUUAACAGUACUUUUGUGCCUAUUUUCAUAAUUGUCAGGGGUCAAAAUAUUCACCUGAAUUAGUUUAGUUCAACGAAACUCUUCAGCUUCAAAGAGCACAGGACAGUAUGGACAGUAAAAACUGAUGGUUUUGACAUUGUAUUAGCUUUUUGUGAAAUAAAGCUAUUGAAACUCAGGCCUUUAGAGCUCAGUGGAAUUAAAAAAAAAAAAAAAAAGGCAUUAUGAGUUUGCUUGUAUACUUGCCUUCCUACGGUUCUAUUUCCCUUUGCUUCAUCUCUCUCUGCAGGCUCAAGGGAGCAGAUCCUUCCAUGUUUCAAGUCGGCACAGCUCCACAAAACAGCUGUGCCAAUUACUUCCCAUCGGGGACUGCUGCUGGGUGUGUAGCUGCUUGUACUGAAGUUGUUGCAAUUACUAUCAUUAUGUUAUUUCUUGGCAAGGAAUGGAAAAAGAUGAGUGAGUGUUUGGGGGGCUUUAAGUGCAGCAGGCCACUUACUCAUGCAAACCACUGAGAGCAACUGGAAGGAAGCACAGUGAGGAGUAAACUUUUUGGAAAACCAGCUCUCAUAUUUAACUUGGUAAGGAGACAAAGCGUUUUCUUAAUGAAACCUAAUAAACUCCAGGUCUGCCAGUUCCUUCAAAAAGGGAAAGCAUUUUUCAGUGUGUUAGAUUAACACUGCAGUACCUAUUAUGCCCUCGCUUUUAUGCAGCUUAUGGAGAUCUUUACCACAGCUCCAGCCUGCAGGAGCUACUUGUGUAAUGCCAGUGCUGAGAAAAACUGUCACAUGGCUUACUUCCAUCUGAAAAACAACAAAUUCGAAGAAUUUUUUUCAAGUAGUCUGUAACGCUAUUCAAACUCUUUUGAUCCUGAAGCUGGGAGGGGAAUUCUUCUGUAGACACAAAAUUAGAGUGGUCUGAAAGCAGCUUAUUUCAUCUGGCAGCUGAUGGUUUGAAGGAUUGAAAUUUUACCUAGCUGAGCAUACACAAAUGUGGCACCCUUUGUAUGUGGAAAAACUCCCAUACCUUUGUAUAUCAACCUACCUUUGUAGGUUUGUACCCCACAGACAAAGGCUGUAUUACAGCUAGUCUAGAUAUUGUAUCCCAACCAGAUCAAAAUACCCUGUUUCCCCAAAAGUAAGACAGGGUCUUAUACAAUUUUUGCUCCAAAAGAUGCUUACUUUUUUACAUGUAUAGCUGCCUGCACACUAUUUAAAUUGACUUUUUAAAUGAACUGUAGGUAGGGCUUAUUUUUGGACUAGGGCUUGUAUUUCGAGCAUCCCCAAAAUUCCUGAAAACUCAUGCUGCUGGGGUUGGUCUUAUUUUUGGGGAAACAGGGUAGCAUGUGUUCUGAAGAUGAUUUAGUUUUUAAU